UUUGGCAGCUAGCUCUGUGCAACUCUCCCAUGGUCCCCCACAGAAUCUAAGCAGCACUGUGCCUGGUCAGUACCUGGAUGGGAGACCACAUGGGAAAGCUAGGUUGUUGCCGGAA
rfam:Danio rerio chromosome 14 genomic contig CTG1748, GRCz11 reference primary assembly.